UGCAAUUAACUCAAUUGCAUUUUUUCACCUCUAGUGAAAAUACGGUCAGUCAGUCGACGAUAGAAAGGCAGCCAAAGGUCAAGUAAAGGCAGCACGUUGCCUUGUGUUUUUAUGUACUGUGGUGGCGUCCAUCUUGUUUCUUUCCAGCACAGUAAACUGAGUGGCAGCCUGGCGCAGCAAUUUCUCCUCCCGGAUCAGACUCCACCAAUCCUAGAGGCCGAGAUGGCCCUGCGAAACGAGCAGUUGGUCAACGGAGAGCGAGGCCGCCACUCCAACCAAUCAGAUCUCAAAGACCUCCACGCCCCGGCGAGUCCUCUCCCCAAACUCAAGAGCCCACCCCUGGGGGAGACAGCCAAACAGGAAGUGGCCACAGAAACAGGAAAUUGGAGCAGCUGAAGCAGAAACAGGAAAUGAAAGCUGAGCUGUUGAAGCAGAAACAGGAAAUGACAACAGAGCAACCGAAGCAGAAACAGGAAAUGACAACAGAGCAACCGAAGCAGAAACAGGAAAUGACAACAGAGCAACAGAAGCAGAAACAGGAAAUGAAAGCUGAGCUGUUGAAGCAGGGGCAGGAAGUGAAAGCUGAGCUGUUGAAGCAGGGGCAGGAAGUGAAGUCAGGGAAAGAAAAGGUGACAAAUGAUGUCAAGAUGUCAAAAAAUGGAAGUAAAGAAAGAUGAGCAGAAAGAAGGGGAGAAGAAGAAAGAGUGAGUGAUAGAGGGGCAACAGACAUAACAGAACAGGAGAGGUGAGGGAUGUGUGGUCCACAAGAAGGGCUUUCGCCUGGCCACUCUGCUGAAACCAGACAAGGGAACCCCAGAUCUCCCAGCAGGCCUAGUGAGAGUCCGAAUGGGGGAAGACGGAACACUGCAUGAUGGCUUUGUCCUGAGACUUCCAAUUGGUGGGUUUAUACUGAGAUUGUUUGUGAUUGGUGGGUUCU